UUCUAGACACGUAGCAGGAGGGGCUACAGG
rnacentral:piRNA from 1 species